UUGGUUCAGGACGAACGCUGGCGGCGUGCCUAAUACAUGCAAGUCGAGCGGACUUGAUGGAGUGCUUGCACUCCUGAUGGUUAGCGGCGGACGGGUGAGUAACACGUAGGCAACCUGCCCUCAAGACUGGGAUAACUACCGGAAACGGUAGCUAAUACCGGAUAAUUUAUUUUGCAGCAUUGUGGAAUAAUGAAAGGCGGAGCAAUCUGUCACUUGAGGAUGGGCCUGCGGCGCAUUAGCUAGUUGGUGGGGUAACGGCCCACCAAGGCGACGAUGCGUAGCCGACCUGAGAGGGUGAACGGCCACACUGGGACUGAGACACGGCCCAGACUCCUACGGGAGGCAGCAGUAGGGAAUCUUCCGCAAUGGGCGAAAGCCUGACGGAGCAACGCCGCGUGAGUGAUGAAGGUUUUCGGAUCGUAAAGCUCUGUUGCCAAGGAAGAACGUCUUCUAGAGUAACUGCUAGGAGAGUGACGGUACUUGAGAAGAAAGCCCCGGCUAACUACGUGCCAGCAGCCGC
rnacentral:rRNA from 1 species